UUGAUCCUGGCUCAGGAUGAACGCUAGCUACAGGCUUAACACAUGCAAGUCGAGGGGCAGCAUGGUCUUAGCUUGCUAAGGCCGAUGGCGACCGGCGCACGGGUGAGUAACACGUAUCCAACCUGCCGUCUACUCUUGGACAGCCUUCUGAAAGGAAGAUUAAUACAAGAUGGCAUCAUGAGUCCGCAUGUUCACAUGAUUAAAGGUAUUCCGGUAGACGAUGGGGAUGCGUUCCAUUAGAUAGUAGGCGGGGUAACGGCCCACCUAGUCUUCGAUGGAUAGGGGUUCUGAGAGGAAGGUCCCCCACAUUGGAACUGAGACACGGUCCAAACUCCUACGGGAGGCAGCAGUGAGGAAUAUUGGUCAAUGGGCGAGAGCCUGAACCAGCUAAGUAGCGUGAAGGAUGACUGCCCUAUGGGUUGUAAACUUCUUUUAUAAAGGAAUAAAGUCGGGUAUGGAUACCCGUUUGCAUGUACUUUACGAAUAAGGAUCGGCUAACUCCGUGCCAGCAGCCGCGGUAAUACGGAGGAUCCGAGCGUUAUCCGGAUUUAUUGGGUUUAAAGGGAGCGUAGGCGGGUUGUUAAGACAGUUGUGAAAGUUUGCGGCUCAACCGUAAAAUUGCAGUUGAUACUGGCGACCUUGAGUGCAACAGAGGUAGGCGGAAUUCGUGGUGUAGCGGUGAAAUGCUUAGAUAUCACGAAGAACUCCGAUUGCGAAGGCAGCUUACUGGAUUGUAACUGACGCUGAUGCUCGAAAGUGUGGGUAUCAAACAGGAUUAGAUACCCUGGUAGUCCACACAGUAAACGAUGAAUACUCGCUGUUGGCGAUAUACAGUCAGCGGCCAAGCGAAAGCAUUAAGUAUUCCACCUGGGGAGUACACCGGCAACGGUGAAACUCAAAGGAAUUGACGGGGGCCCGCACAAGCGGAGGAACAUGUGGUUUAAUUCGAUGAUACGCGAGGAACCUUACCCGGGCUUAAAUUGCAACUGACGGAAUCGGAAACGGUUCUUUCUUCGGACAGUUGUGAAGGUGCUGCAUGGUUGUCGUCAGCUCGUGCCGUGAGGUGUCGGCUUAAGUGCCAUAACGAGCGCAACCCUUAUCGAUAAUUACUAGCAGGUCAUGCUGAGGACUCUAUUGAGACUGCCGUCGUAAGAUGUGAGGAAGGUGGGGAUGACGUCAAAUCAGCACGGCCCUUACGUCCGGGGCUACACACGUGUUACAAUGGGGGGUACAGAAGGCAGCUACACGGCGACGUGGUGCUAAUCCCAAAAGCCUCUCUCAGUUCGGAUUGGAGUCUGCAACCCGACUCCAUGAAGCUGGAUUCGCUAGUAAUCGCGCAUCAGCCACGGCGCGGUGAAUACGUUCCCGGGCCUUGUACUCACCGCCCGUCA
rnacentral:rRNA from 1 species